rnacentral:tRNA from 1 species
GCGUCCGUAGUGUAGUGGGAACAUCCGACCCUUCCAAGGUCGUGUCUCGGGUUCAAAUCCCGGCGGGCGCA